UUGAUCCUGCCAGUAGUAUAUGCUUGUCUCAAAGAUUAAGCCAUGCAUGUCUAAGUACAGACCGUCAUACGGUGAAACCGCGAAUGGCUCAUUAAAUCAGUUAUGGUUCACGAGAUCUUACAAAUUACUUGGAUAACCGUGGUAAUUCUAGAGCUAAUACAUGCAACUAAGCCUCGACCUCACGGGAGGGGCGCUUUUAUUAGAACAAGACCACCCGGGCUUCGGUCGCCAAUUCUGUGGUGACUCUGAAUAACCUCGCUGAGCGCACAGUCUCCGCACUGGCGCCGUAUCUUUCAAGUGUCUGCCUUAUCAGCUGUCGAUUGUAGGUUAUGUGCCUACAAUGGCUAUAACGGGUAACGGGGAAUCAGGGUUCGAUUCCGGAGAGGGAGCCUGAGAAACGGCUACCACAUCUAAGGAAGGCAGCAGGCACGCAAAUUACCCACUCCCAGCUCGGGGAGGUAGUGACGAAAAAUAACGAUGCGGGACUCUUCCGAGGCUUCGCAAUCGGAAUGAGUUCAAUCUAAAUCCUUGUACAAGGACCAAUUGGAGGGCAAGUCUGGCGCCAGCAGCCGCGGUAAUUCCAGCUCCAAUAGCGUAUAUUAAAGUUGCUGCGGUUAAAAAGCUCGUAGUUGGAUUUCAGUUAUGGAUCGACGGUGCGCUCGGCGAUUUCCGUCGCCGAACAGUGAGCUGGCACGCUCGGGGUGCUCUUUACCGAGUGUCCCUGUGGCCAGCACGUUUACUUUGAAAAAAUUAGAGUGCUUAAAGCAGGCUAUCGCCUGAAUAGUUGUGCAUGGAAUAAUAGAAAAGGACCUCGGUUCUAUUUUGUUGGUUUUCGAACCUGAGAUAAUGAUUAACAGGGACUGACGGGGGCAUUCGUAUUGCGACGCUAGAGGUGAAAUUCUUGGACCGUCGCAAGACGCACAACUGCGAAAGCAUUUGCCCAGAAUGUCUUCUUUAAUCAAGAACGAAAGUUAGAGGUUCGAAGGCGAUCAGAUACCGCCCUAGUUCUAACCAUAAACUAUGCUAACCAGCAAUUUGUCUGUGUUAAUCCCAUGACUGGACAAGCAGCUUCCGGGAAACCAAAGUCUUUGAGUUCCGGGGGAAGUAUGGUUGCAAAGCUGAAACUUAAAGGAAUUGACGGAAGGGCACCACCAGGAGUGGAGCCUGCGGCUUAAUUUGACUCAACACGGGAAAUCUUACCAGGCCCGGACACCGGAAGGAUUGACAGAUUAAGAGCUCUUUCUUGAUUCGGUGGGUGGUGGUGCAUGGCCGUUCUUAGUUGGUGGAGCGAUUUGUCUGGUUAAUUCCGAUUAAAAACGAACGAGAUUCUAACCUGCUAACUAGCCAAGGUAUCUGGUCUAUGUGCCUGAAGCUUCUUAGAGGGAUAAGCGUCGUCUAGACGCACGAGAUUGAGCAAUAACAGGUCUGUGAUGCCCUUAGAUGUUCUGGGCCGCACGCGCGCUACACUGAAGAAAUCAGCGUGUUCUCCCUCUCCGAGAGGAGCGGGUAACCCGUUGAAACUUCUUCGUGAUAGGGAUUGGGGCUUGAAAUUCUUCCCCAUGAACGAGGAAUUCCCAGUAAGCGCAAGUCAUCAGCUUGCGUUGAUUACGUCCCUGCCCUUUGUACACACCGCCCGUCGCUACUACCGAUUGAAUGAUUUAGUGAGGGCAUCGGACUGGCGCCGGUUGUGGUCUUCGGGCUACUUCGGGCUCGCCGGAAAGAUGUCCAAACUUGAUUAUUUAGAGGAAGUAAAAGUCGUAACAAGGUUUCCGUAGGUGAACCUGCAGAUGGAUCA
rnacentral:rRNA from 1 species